GAAUCUUUCACAAUGGGGGAAACCCUGAUGGAGCGACGCCGCGCGGGGGAUGAAGGGCUUCGGCUCGUAAACCCCUGUCAUUUGUGAACAAUGUUGCGAUGCUAAUACCAUCGCCAUUGCUAGUAGCAGAAGAGGAAGGGACGGCUAACCUUGUGCCCGCAGCCGCGGUAAUACAGAGGUCCCAAGCGUUGUUCGGAUUCACUGGGCGUAAAGGGUGCGUAGGUGGUAAGGUAAGUUUGAUGUGAAAGCUCCGAGCCCAACUCGGAAAUUGCAUUGAAGACUGCCUAACUAGAGGAUUGGAGGGCGGACUGGAAUUCUCGGUGUAGCGGUGAAAUGCGUAGAUAUCGAGAGGAACACCAGUGGCGAAGGCGAGUCCCUGGACAAAUCCUGACACUGAGGCACGAAAGCUAGGGUAGCAAACAGG
rnacentral:rRNA from 1 species